GAAAAGGGCUUCUGUCGUGAGUGGCACACGGAGGGCAGCUGCAUGGCUCUUCAUGUGGAAUCGACAUCGAGAGAUUUUGGAAGUAUAAGUUUUUGGUACCUGGGCAGCUGGUGAUCAUUGGUCCCAGUGUCCGC
ensembl:snRNA